rnacentral:rRNA from 1 species
GACGAACGCUGGCGGCGUGCUUAACACAUGCAAGUCGAACGGAAAGGCCCUGCUUGCAGGGUACUCGAGUGGCGAACGGGUGAGUAACACGUGGGUGAUCUGCCCUGCACUUCGGGAUAAGCCUGGGAAACUGGGUCUAAUACCGGAUAGGAGCCAUUUUUAGUGUGAUGGUUGGAAAGUUUUUUCGGUGUAGGAUGAGCUCGCGGCCUAUCAGCUUGUUGGUGGGGUAAUGGCCUACCAAGGCGGCGACGGGUAGCCGGCCUGGGAGGGUGGACGGCCACAUUGGGACUGGGAUACGGCCCAGACUCCUACGGGAAGCAGCGGUGGGGAAUAUUGCACAAUGGGCGCAAGCCUGAUGCAGCGACGCCGCGUUGGGGAUGACGGCCUUCGGGUUGUAAACUCCUUUCGCGAGGGACGAAGCUUUUUGUGACGGUACCUAGAUAAGAAGCACCGGCUAACUACGUG